AGAAAAAACUUAGUUUCGUUCAUACCAAGACAACUUCAGAGAGGAUAAGGACUUGCAUAUCUUCAAAUUGUGCUGGAAAUUAGAAAACCCAAAAAUAUCCUCACAAAAUACAGCAAAUAUUUGUUCAGCAUUCACAAAAUCGAAUUGAAAACGAAACACAGCCAAACGAACCAGCUCCAACAAUUUCAACACCGUUAUUACACAUUAACUGAGAUUUGAUUAUCCACAUGAAAGCCCUAAACGACAUAUAAAACGCAGCGUUUUUUUGUUGUUGUAAGAAAAGAAAAGAGGUAAAAGGAAUUGAUUAAUAUAACAAUUCAGAUACCAAAGGAAGGGCAGGCGAUGGAUCAAACGAUGUCGUCGGGAGCGUGGGAGUUGCUGGUGAGCGUAAGAGGGCGAUCCUUCGCCUCAUCCUCCUCGUCGUCGUCGGGAUCGGUUGUAGUGAGAUUGACGCAAGAGCAUCGUUCGAGGGACGCGAAGAAGGCGGAGACUACAGUGGCGCUCACCCAGCUUGCCACGUUGCCCAAGCUGUCUCGCGAUAUUAUGCUGUUACUGGGGUUGUUA
rnacentral:lncRNA from 1 species